AACGGUCUAUACCUGCGGUACCUGCGGAGGGAUCAUUAUCAAUUUACAGCGGACUUCGGUCCUGUCUGCACCCUUGUCUUUUGCGUACUAUAUGUUUCCUCGGUGGGCUUGCCUGCCGAUAGGACACUUAUAAACUCUUUUGUAAUUGCAAUCAGCGUCAGAAAACUAUAAUAGUUACAACUUUCAACAACGGAUCUCU
rnacentral:misc_RNA from 1 species